UAGGGGCUAGCAGAUGUUUCACACUCAGGA
rnacentral:piRNA from 1 species